GCCGCGGCCGGGAGGGACCGAGCGGGGAGCAAGGCCUGCGGGGAGGCGCAGGAUGGACGCGUUGGCUGUCAUGAUGUAGGACCUCCUGACCUAGAACCAUGCCCGGCGCAGGGAGAACAACGAGCUUACGGACCGGGUGCGGGGGCUGCUGUGCGAGAAAGCCUACCUGCUGGCCCGGGAGCGUUCGCCGGCCCACCUGGUGGCUUUCCCUGGACGUUUAACGGCGACUCCGCCCGGCCUCCCGACUUUUUGAUGCAGGCGUUCUCUUACAUGACUUUCUUCGAGGCUAGAUUCUCGAAAGACAUCCUGAAGGUGGCUUUCUUAAUUAGCUGCCUCACCGGCUGGCGGAGCAGUUCGUAGUCGCCUACAUCGAGAGGGAGAGCCCCGUCCUGGCUCAGUACUGGGGCUUCGUGGACGCGCUGUAGCGGGUCUUCGCCGUCGUGGGUAGGAAACAGUCGGGCCGGAUCCCCGGUGUCUGGGGAGCGGCUGCCGGCCGGGCCCGCGCGAGCCGCUUCACUCCUACAAGCCCGGCUCACUAGUUCCAAGCUGCUGGACUUUGACCCUCGCUGGGAAGCUUGAUCGCCGCCUGUUCUCGCCAAUCUCUAUGCCUUUGCACUGCCCAGCAACCCGGUCACUGCCCAGGACCUGUUAAAAGUUGAAUGGACCUCCCAGAAUCACGCCGCUGCCACCGCCGUUUCUAGAGACGGCUUUUGGCCACCUUUGAGAAUCAGGGUCAAACUUGGAAGGGCCUGCAUUUGUCACACUUCCUCGGACACUAAUUUGGAUAGUUCAGGCCCAGAGACGGCUUCCCGGGUUAGUGUGCCUGACAACACUGAAGAAAAAUUGUGACAUUUUCCUUCCCCAGAAUUACUUCGUUUUAUACAUUUCACUUCUCUUCUGAAAUCACAGCAAUGCCAGUUUGCGCCUUUUGGUCUGAGGAACGCAGGCCCUGGCCACUACCAGGAAAAAGUAUUUACUUUUAAAACUUGAAUGUAUAUCUUUACCGUAUGCCUAGUACAGUAGUGCUUGGAAGAAACAGAUUAGUAAGACAAAAUAUAUGUCUUCAAGAACACUUACGUUCUGAGAAAGAAUUCUGAAUGCAGAUUCUAAUGUCUGUUUCCUUGAUGGAGAACUAUCAAAGCAGUCAAAGCUAUCAAAAUAAAAAAGAAUUCUGAUUGGGUGCAGUGGCUCACACCUGUCAUUCCAGCACUUUGAGAGGCCAAGGUGGGCAGAUCACAUGAGGCCAGGAGUUCAAGACCAGCCUGGCCAACAUGGCAGAAACCCCAUCUCUACUAAAAAUACCAAAAUUAGCCGGGCAUGGUGGAACACACCUGCAAUCCCAGCUACUCGGGAGGCUGAGGCAAGAGAAUCGCUUGAACCUGGGAGGCAGAAGUUGCAGUGAAACAAGUUGGUGCCAAUGCAUUCCAGCCUGGAUGAUGGAGCGAGACUCUGUCUCAAGAAAAAAAAAACAAAAACAAAAACAGAACUCUGCCUCAUAGCGUCUUUUAAGUUAUACACUGGACCUAUCCUUUCCUCACUGACAGACAUUUUAAAAAUUUUUUGGUAAGGCCUAGUUCAUAUAAAAUGUAAUCCAAGCCAAAAGUUAACAAGAAUAAGGGGAGGAAAGGGGACUCCAAUAGCAGAGAAAGGUAUUUACCUGGGAUAUACACUGCAAGAAAAUCAAAGCUAUAAGAAACGUCCAUGAAUAGUAGCCAUAAGGCAUCAGAGUGAUAAAAUUCCUGUCCCUAGGAGGGAAUAUUGGAGUUUGCCAGAGAAACAGAAUGAGAGAGACAGAGAGGUUUAUUGUAGGAAUUGGCUCAUAUGAUUACGGAGGCUGAGAAGACCCACGAUCUGCCAUCUGCAAGCUGGAGAAUCAGGAAAGCUGGAGGUGUAAUUCAGUCAAGUCCAAUGGCCAGAGAAGCAAGUGUACUGAUAUCCAAGAGCAGGAGAAAAUAGAUGUCCCAGAACAAGCAGAGAGGCUGAUUUUGUCCUUCCUCUGCCUUUUUGUUUCAUAUGGGGCACUGAAUGGACUGAUGCCCAUCCACAUUAGUGAGGGUGGAUCUUCUUUACUCAGUCUACCAGUAGAAAUGUCAAUGACUUCCAGAAACACCCUCACCAACACACGUGGAAAUAAUGUUUUACCAGGUAUCUGGGCAUCCCUUGGUUCACUCAAGUUGACACAAAAUUAACCAUCACAGAAGGAGACUGGCCUUACUCUGAAAUUAGGAAACUAAAGAAGUGACCAGAAUGGAGACUAGGUAGAGACAACUAGUUCUCUACCAAACAUGUACAGUUAUUCGUUGGUAUCUGAAGGGGAUUGGUUCCAGGAACUCUCAGGGAUACCAAAAUCUGCAGGUGCUCAAGUCAUUUAUAUAAAAUAUUACAGUAUUUGCAUAUAACCUUUGCACAUCUUCCAUAUACUUUAAAUCAUCUCUACAUUACUUAUAAUAAUGAAUGUGUAAAUGCUAUGAAAAUAGUUACUACACUAUUGUUUAUUUGUAUUUUUAUUGAAUUGUUUUGGGGUGGGGGGCAGCUGUAUCUUUCUUAGUAAUAGAACCCCUGGUUUUAGCUGGGCACAUGACUGCCCUCAAUAAAGAUUAAAGUACCCCAGCCUUCCUUGAGAUUGUGGCCAUGUGACUGAACUUUAGACAGUGAGAUAUAAGCAGAUAUCUUCUGUGGCAGUGUUAGGAAACUAUUAAAGACAGUAAGAACAUUGCCCUUUGCCUUCUUUUUCCUUUCUUCAUUUUUCUGCCUGGAAUGCAAAUGUGAUGGCUAACACCCUAGCAGCCAUUUUAGAUUAUGAAGAUGAGAGUCACUCCCCAGGAAGGGUGGACCUGAAAGCUGGAUUCUAGAUGUGGAAUGACAAUACCAGCCCUGGACUACCUACCUGUAGGCUGUGUGUGUGUGUGUGUGAUUGACAGAGAGAGAGAGAGAUAGAUACCACAAGUAACACAAAGCAUCAUACCUGGGACUGGGAAGGUUAAUGUUUAAACAUUUUAAAUGUGGCAUUGGUUUGUUGAAGACAGUCAAGCAGUAGGUGCUGCAGGCUUUGUUGAGGCUAGAAAGCUGUUGGUCUUUAUUAGGUGAUGGCAAAACAAUGGAUCACAUUUUCAUGUGCUGUGUCUUGGGAGGCAAAUGAUGAGAAUGUAGGAUUGGGGAAAAUGGUAAGGAAAAUCCAAAAUGUUCAUGUUUUCUAACCCCUUCUUGCCAAUCUUAAAAGAAGGACAAACAGGCUAGAUUAAGCAAGUCUACAGUUACAAUUGGAAGGAAACACAGCCGUACUAAGGAAGUACUCUGUCUGUGGCCUGCAGUCUAGUUUGACUAGGUCCUGUAUUUGAGCUUUGAAAGAGUAAAGAAUACAAGUGCUCGUAUACCCCUGAAGUAGUUACCAGCAGUGACUGCAAGGAGGUAAUCUUAUGGGAUGAAACUAUAACUCUGUAUUAACCAUCAUAUAUAGCAUAUAUGUGUAUAUGUAUGUGUGUGUGUGUAUAUGUGUAUAUAAAUAUAUGUGUGUGUAUAUACACACAUGUACACACCCUACAACCCAGUGAUUUCAAAAAAUUAAACAUUUGUUUAGCUCAUGAAUCUGUGGGUUGGGUGAACAUUUCUAUUGGUCUUGGCUGGGCUCACCUGUACCCAGUCAGCUGCAGGGUCUAGCUCUUCUUAUCUUGGCUGGGAUCUCACACAUGUCUAGGAUCAGCUGCUUUACUAGUCUAGGAUUGUCUUGGCUGAGACAGGUGGACUACUCAGUUCUCCUCCACUGCCUUAUCCUUCAGCUGGCCAGCCCAGAAAUGUUGCCAUGUUUACAGCAUAAGAGCAAGCAAGAAAGAAUAAUAUGCAACCACUUUUCCAAGCCUAAGGUGAAAGGGCGGGCAGAACCUGUGGUGUUAGGAGGCAACUCAUACCAGCCCAUGGGUCUACCGUUUAAUUUUCAGAAAUUUGGCAAGCUGAUUGUUAACACAGCUGUUGUUUAAUUUAUGUACUUGUAAUUAAAUAAUUUACAUUAAAACAAAGAUA
ensembl:lncRNA LINC00667 long intergenic non-protein coding RNA 667